UAGGGAAUCUUCCGCAAUGGGCGAAAGCCUGACGGAGCAACGCCGCGUGAGUGAAGAAGGAUUUCGGUUCGUAAAGCUCUGUUGUUAGGGAAGAAUGAUUGUGUAGUAACUAUACACAGUAGAGACGGUACCUAACCAGAAAGCCACGGCUAACUACGUGCCAGCAGCCGCGGUAAUACGUAGGUGGCAAGCGGUGUCCGGAAUUAUUGGGCGUAAAGCGCGCGCAGGUGGUUUAAUAAGUCUGAUGUGAAAGCCCACGGCUCAACCGUGGAGGGUCAUUGGAAACUGUUAAACUUGAGUGCAGGAGAGAAAAGUGGAAUUCCUAGUGUAGCGGUGAAAUGCGUAGAGAUUAGGAGGAACACCAGUGGCGAAGGCGGCUUUUUGGCCUGUAACUGACACUGAGGCGCGAAAGCGUGGGGAGCAAACAGGAUUAGAUACCCUGGUAGUCCACGCCGUAAACGAUGAGUGCUAAGUGUUGGUCUCAUAAGAGAUUAGUGCUGCAGCUAACGCAUUAAGCACUCCGCCUGGGGAGUACGACCGCAAGGUUG
rnacentral:rRNA from 1 species